UAUAGCGGUCAAAGCGACGGGGCAACACCUGUACCCAUCCCGAACACAGUAGUUAAGCCCGUCAACGUUCUACAUUGUACUAUGAUGUGCGAACUCUAGGGAACUGUAGAAAGCUGCUAUGC
rnacentral:rRNA from 1 species